rnacentral:rRNA from 1 species
ACUCAACGCCGGGAAACUCACCAGAUAAGACAGCUGAAUGAUAGUCGGGCUGAAGACUCUACUUGACUAGCUGAGAGGAGGUGCAUGGCCGUCGUCAGUUCGUACUGUGAAGCAUCCUGUUAAGUCAGGCAACGAGCGAGACCCACGCCAACAGUUGCCAGCUCGUCCUCCGGGAUGGUGGGGACACUGUUGGGACCGCCUCUGCUAAAGAGGAGGAAGGAAUGGGCAACGGUAGGUCAGCAUGCCCCGAAUUAUCUGGGCUACACGCGGGCUACAAUGGGUGGGACAAUGGGUAUCGACACCGAAAGGUGAAGGCAAUCUCCUAAACCCAUCCGUAGUUCGGAUUGUGGGCUGCAACUCGCCCACAUGAAGCUGGAAUCUGUAGUAAUCGUGUCUCAAAAUGGCACGGUGAAUAUGUCCCUGCUCCUU